GAAAUGCGAUACUUGGUGUGAAUUGCAGAAUCCCGUGAACCAUCGAGUCUUUGAACGCAAGUUGCGCCCGAAGCCAUUCGGCCGAGGGCACGUCUGCCUGGGUGUCACGCAUCGUUGCCCCCCCCUCAACUCCGGUUCGGGGCGGGGGCGGAAGUUGGCCUCCCGUGCGCGCCCGCGCGCGCGGUUAGCCCAAAAGCGAGUCCUCGGCGACGAGCGCCACGACAAUCGGUGGUUCUUCGACCCUCGUUCCCCGUCGUGCGCGCCCCGUCGCCCGAACGCGCUCUCGAGCGCGUCGCCUCGGCGACGCUCCCAACGCGACCCCAGGUCAGGCGGGACUACCCGCUGAGUUUAA
rnacentral:misc_RNA from 1 species